rnacentral:rRNA from 1 species
CAAUAGCGUAUAUUAAAGUUGUUGCAGUUAAAAAGCUCGUAGUUGGAUUUCUGGUCGGAGCGACCGGUCGGCGCCCUAGCGGCGUGUGCACUGUUUUGUCGGCUCCUGCCAUCCUUGCCGAAAACGUGGUUGCCCUUUGUUGGGUGUCCUCGGGCUCGGCAACGUUUACUGUGAAAAAAUUAGAGUGUUUAAAGCAGGCGAUCGCUGUGAAUACAUUAGCAUGGAAUAAUGAGAUAGGACUUUGGUACUAUUUUGUUGGUUUGCGCACCAAGGUAAUGAUUAAUAGGGAUAGUUGGGGGUAUUCAUAUUCAAUUGUCAGAGGUGAAAUUCUUGGAUUUAUGGAAGAUGAACUUAUGCGAAAGCAUUUACCAAGGAUGUUUUCAUUAAUCAAGAACGAAAGUUAGGGAUCGAAGACGAUCAGAUACCAU